GGAACAGGAGAGGAGCUCUCGGUCGCUCGUCUCAUCCCCUUCCUCUCGUCGACAGCAACACCAGGAGACCGCGGCGGCUACUCGGUGGCGAGUCGCGCUUGGUUGUCCUCGACGGCCGACGGUCCUUGUCGUCCGCGACAACUACAUCCCGGUGAGUCGGCCACCGCGUUGCUGUGAUGUGCGUUGCCGCUGUGGCUUCGAUGACCACGGCUGCAGGGACGCGUCGUACAACGCGGCGCGGACGAACUGACCCUUCCCUUCGUCGCCUCAGACAACAACAGCUCGUCCAUGGUGCUUUUGCAGGUCGUAUCACGCCGUCCCCGAGCAGCAUGGCCGCUGACUCCAUGCAGGUCUCCGGCAGCGAGGGCCGCCACCCUCAUACUGCUCCUGCCCCGCGACGCGUCGUCUACCCUGAACCGUGGAUUAACAGCACCAUGCAGCCAGAGCCUGCAACUUUCUUUCUUUCUUUUUUGACGUUCUCAGAGCCUGCAUCUUGGUCCAUGGAUGGAUGCAUCUGUAUGAACAUCAUCGAGUGAUUCUAAGUUCAGAACAUCAUUUGGACAAUAAUUAAUCAACUCCUUACAUUCUUCUCUCAAUGCUGCUCGUGGUUGUGUGCUGCUACUCGUCGUUCUGUGCAAGCGUCCAUGGAGACUGGAGGAGAGAACGCCAGACGAGGCAACAGGCGUGGAGGCGGGGAGAAGAGCGCCGGGAAGCCGGAGAGAGCGUCGGCCGCCGCUGGAUUCAUCCCGAUUUGGGGAAUCGUUUAGCUCUGUUUUAGUCAAACAGCCACAAAGGGUAAACCUGUCCAAUGUUUUGUGUAUAUAUUAUGUCAAUCA